ensembl:lncRNA
UAUUUUUCAUGCAUCUAAUCUUCAGUUAAAAAAAAAAAAAGACGACAACUCUGAAAAUAUCUUGUUGGAAAUAACACUGGAAUUCCUCAGUCUGUUUAAACUUGUCACCAUCGGUUGUUCAUAGUGAUAGAUUUCCUAAUGCUCACCAGGCACUCACACUUUUUGUGUUUGUUGGAGUGUGCAUCUUGUAAUGUUCACAGCUGCACUAAUUCAAUCAUUCCUAUUUUUGCUACUGAUUCACAAAGACUUCACAGUAUGGGGGAGAAUGAGGAGAGUGAAUUGGUGAUGCUGAUUUCAUCCAAGCAUUCUUUAAAGAUUCAUAAAUACACAGAAAGCUUAAUCUCACCACUUUCCUGAAGAAAUGCCUUCUUCAUUAAAAGUCCUUAGAGGAUACUGUGCUUGAGGACAACAUUGUGAAUCAAAU